rnacentral:rRNA from 1 species
GCUUAUCACCAUUCCAGAUUGAAUAUACCCGAUCUCGUAUGAUCUCGGAAGUCAAGCAAUCUCGGGG